rnacentral:rRNA from 1 species
CAGAGCAUCCAAAUCACCCUUUUAAAAUAUAAAUCAAUCACUGAUCUCAGAACCUAAGCAGGGUUGGGCCUGGUUAGUACUUGGAUGGGAGACUGCCUAGGAAGACCAGAUGCUGUAUGC